UAGCCGAAGUCUACACCCCUUUGUUGACGAUUGGUCAACUGUAGGGGUGGCACGAGUUUCUUUUUCUCGAUUUAGUCCGAAAACUCAGUGUGAUUCAACAUGGUGAACGACAACUUCAAGCGUUUCUUAGCCAAGGAGGGACAGAAGUAAGCAAGACAGAAAGCAACAUGCCAUCUUCACCAGAGAAUGAGGCACAAACACCAGUGAAUGGGGACAGCACCAGGUUUUGUUCUCUGCUCCCCAGCAUUGCCUCUUCACCGGCCCCCAGCACUGACUGGUCAUUAACCCCCAGCCCAUCUCCCGCACUGAGCUGCAGUGCAGAAUGGAAAACCAUCUCUAUGAAGGACCUGGGAAACCCUAUCCUGGGCCCACCUCCAAUACCUACUCCACUGGCUUGCUCCUCACCAAUGCCACAGAGCAGCAGCAGUAGUAGCAGGACUGUGAGAAGAAGGGAGAAAAGAGCUGCAGACUCAGACACAUCACCCGUAAAGGCGUUGCAAAGACCGAUCUCAAGAUCUGGAGAACGUCAUGCAUUGAGCCACCCAGAGGGCCCUGGCACCUAUAGCUGAUUUCAUGGAUGAACUAUUGACAAAACUCGGGUUGGAAUUCGAUCACCAGCUGCAUGAAUUUGUGCAUGACUUCAAGAAGACAUGGACCGAACGACUGGGACCACAGUGAAAUGAACAAUUGGUUCUUGUUGUUCAGACAUCUCAGGAGUCAGACUCUAGACAAUUUUAUUCCAUAGACACUUGUCUUGUUGUUUGCGUGUCUGUUUUUCACAGACACAUUUGUACUAUUCUUCAAAUAAUUCAUUUGUCUGACACUUUAAUGAUAUUUAAUUGAUGUGUUGUUUACAUGUCUGUUCUUAGCAGACACUGUUGUAUUGUGGUUUACUUUCAGAGCCCAGAUGCAAGAAUAAGGUUUAUUUUUUUGUGUGCUGAAAAAGCUCUUUCUUCAUCUCGAUACAAGGUGUUUCAAUGCAUUCUAUUUGAUAAUCAAGUACUGACAAUGUUGAGAAGAGCUGUGUGCUGUAGAGCUGUGUGGUGUAGUUCAAUCUAAAUUAACACACACAGACAUCAUAAAAAUUUGGUUUCAAUUCAUUAACAAGAUUAAAACUACA